UCCAUUUUCCCCAUACAGAUCAUUCCAUGGUUCCAUGGAUUCCAUUCCAGCACAAAGGGAAGAAAUGCUGUCUUCUGGAAUGGAGAGGAUCUUCUCUGCAGCCAGGGCCUGACCCCAGCCUGGGAUGUGGCUGAAUGCUGACAGGGUUCCAGGAGCUCAGUGCAAAAGGGUCAAUGUCCAUGUUCCUGGAUUUUAAGGGGGGACUGGAUUUCUGAUGUUCAAAAUCAAGUGGAAGAGGAGGAGAGAAUCCAAAAAUCAGUAGGAAGAAGGUGGAGAGGGAGACAACAGAAAGGAGUAAUGGGACAAUGCCUGGAGGAGAACUGUGACAUAACCCAUGGAAGAGGACAGUGCCCAGAGCAGGCAGGACUAUUCAGAGUACACUUGUUCCUUUUGGCUCAUGAUGCAGCUGAUAAUCUUUUCCUAAAUGCAUUUUCUUUUCAUCAUUUGCCCACACAAACAGCCGUGGUUCUAAUCCUCAGAAAGGUAACAUUUGUGAAUAGCUUGCUAGCCAAAAUCCUUUGGGUGAGAAAUUUAACAGGCUUCAGGAUGGAGCUUGCUAAAUUUAUCAAAGAUAUUAAGUGCUGGAUGUACCUAUGGGAUUUGGUACCCUUGGAGUCCUCUUUGGGCCUGUUUCCUAGGUUCCUAUCUCACAGCACUCUGCACACAUUUAGCCCAUAAGCCUCAACAACUGGCAAGCUGAUAUUAUCACUUCUAGUUUUUAUCUAGGGAACAUUAGACUCAGAAAAGAGUUGGUCAAAAAUAUUGUUGCCAAUGAAUUUAGUGGAAUUACUAACUCCUUAAAGAGAAGUAUGUGCUUCAGUGCUCAGGGUCAGAGGCUCCCUUGUGCUCACUUAGACCCAUUUGUGCCUUACAAAUGACACCCUCUUAAGAUACCAGCUGGCCCCUCGGUUUCUGAGCUGCUUAAUGUGUCCUGUCUUUCCACCACUGCCUUCCACAUUCCCAGUCAGAUGGCACUGGGCAUUUUAAUACUUUUGACAGCUAGAGGGGUGUGGGAAUGCCUCACAUGUUGUUCCUGAUAGUUAAUGGAGAACUAAUGAGACAACAGCUGCCAAAAGCCAGCAGUGCCUCUCGCUCCCUCCCUGUCUCCGUGCCGGCAGCAGGAGCACGGCAGCAGAGCUGGGGAUGCUGGUGGUGCUGUGGGUCAGGAUGCAGAGCAGUCCCCUGGCCUUGGGAGCAGAACAGACCUUCACCCAGUGAAGGCUCUGCUCUGCAGCUGUGUUACUUCACACAAAUGGGAUUUUCCAUCUGCCCUGCAGGCCUUGAGCAGCACUUUCCAGGGAGAGAACGAGCAGGGAGGGAAAGGGAGGAUUCCAUGGAGCUCACUGCUAGUUCUACACUAGUCAGCAGCAGACAAUGAUACCUACACCCAGAGGUGAACAGUGCUUACUGAGAGCCCAAACAUUAUUUUUUUUCCCUUCCUGCUUGCUCAAUGAUUCUAUUUUUUGGUUGUCAUUCCUAACAGCCAGUUUGGAAAAUACAGUCUGCAACUCCAUAAACAUUCAAGGCUCUUCACCUCCAAAGACAGUUACUGCAUGCUGUGGGGGAAUGAGCAGUCACAGCCCUCUGUUUCUACCUUGUAAAGCAAGAAUGUCUGAUCAAUAAAUUUUACUGCUGUAGCAGUAACUGUGGUAGUAACUAAACUAAAGCACAGGAGCUGACAGAAUGGCUGGAUUGAUAUUCUGUCAGAAGGAGAAAUAAUUGCCAGAUAGGAAACUCUUUAAAUGUUCAUGAACAAUCAACCAUAUGAUAUUUCUUCCCAUGGGACAUUUUUUAAGGAGAAUAAAUUAGCUGCAUGAAAAUAUUUAUUGCCCAGAGCACCUGACUGAAAUGAUAUUAUGUAGAUGUGUUUCAGCUUCUCAGAACUCCUUUACUUCUUUUUCAAAGUGGCAUCAUGCAAAUCCAGAGUCACCUUUGCACAGGUAGCUGGGAUUGGACCAUCUGCCUAUUCAGUGUGGCUGUAUGUUCAGGUCUACUGCUAAAACCUGCAAGAAGAUGGUGGAGAAUUAUUUCUGACAAGUUUAAAAGCCAGCUGAGCUCAGAAGGCUUGAAGGUAAAGUUCCUUUGUAAUUGUUGCAAAUAUUGAUUCAGUCUCCAAACCUCUCUGGCACCAGAGCAGGGAAGAAUUACACUGAAACCAGACCACUGUCUGCAUCACAAGAGUUCCAUUCUGGGCAAGAACUGGAGACUUUUGGAGGUGAGAAGUCAGGAGACAAAGUUUCACUGAAGCACAGGCUUCUCAGAAUCACAUUUUGGCAAGUUCUGAUAAAGGAAAAACACUCCUUGCCUGUAGCUGCUUAUGUCUCUUGAAUAAUUCCCUGCAAACUCAUCACCAUUUGUCAGCAGAACUUCAGCUAAAAUAAUGCAUGACCGUCGUGCAUCGAUCCACUGGCUUGGCCAGGGUAAGCCCAAAGCAGCAAGUUAAAUUUCCAUCAUUAAAGUCUUAAAUACAAUUUACUUCUUGAUCGUAUGUAGGCAGCCUUUUAGAACCUCUAUGCAUGAGCACUGGCUGCUUGCACUCAGAACAAGGAAAGGGUAACAACUUAUUUAACACCCUCUCAAUCUGUCUUCUCAAAGGCCUUUUCUUUUUGUAUUUACUGCAGAUAAAAGGCUCUGGGAUAACCAAACAAACUGUUGGUACUUAUCCAAAUUGAAUGAAAUCUUAGGAACUUUCCCCUCUUUUCUUGCAAGUAAAUCCUGGCCACGCUGAAAUGAAAGGCAGAAUUCCUGUCACUUAAAUGGGGCUUUAGUCAUUCAAUCCCCAUGUUCCCAGUAAUUACUCCUGGGAGUGGGCUUGACUCCUGUUCCACAUGAUGAAUUGAUCCUUGUUCAGGACACAGAGGGGUCCCGUUGCCAAGUGUGUGCAGUGAGCAGGGGAAGGGCUGAAGCAAGAUGCUUGUGCCAGAGAGACAAUUUCUGUCCAGCUGCCCUGCACUGUGCCUGAAAAAGCAAUUAGGGUUGGUUUUCCCUCUUAUUUUUUUGUUUUCUCCCCAGAAACUACUGGGUCUGAACAAAGUCAUUUGCAGACUGGGCUGGCAAAAUGCUGGUCUGCAUAUCACUACUGGAGGCUGGAAUCCUGCCUCUCCUAACAAUGCUCCAGUGCAUCACUCCCUGUGUGGGCACCACAAACAAACCCACAAUGGUCUGGGGAGAAGCACCUUCCUUUCACAGUGAAACGUGUGAAAGCAGCAUCCACCUUGAAUAUUAAUGGAUGAAUCAUUUAAACAGUUUACAGCAUCAGUUCAGAUAAACAAUUAAGUGCAAUCCAUGUCUUGUUAGAGUAAAUGGAAUAUUUGGGGGAGGAAAGAAAGCCAGCAUUCACAGCCAUGACUAAGAUGCAAUCAGAGGUGUGGGAAUAAAAAGAUGGGAAAAGGGUUUUGGGAGCUUUCUGAGUCAAUCUGGGUCCUCAGCAUCCAGAUCAGCUGGGUAAGAGACAGUCAUCAGCCUUUGCUUUUUCCUGGGUCUGUCAGUAUUUCCCAGUUACAGAUCAGAGCCUGACCACCAGCAUCCUCAGCAUGGUGGCUCCAGUUGCACCAGUACAAGGUUGCCAGAGGACACCUACCCCGAGGCAGCUCCCACGUGUGACAAGCACAGGAGACGUCCAGAAGACACAUGAAUCAGGGAGAUUCCAAGAGAACUGUGAGCCAGAGAAGUCCCAGGGGAGUGAACCCAGAAGGGAAAGGACCAUGUCUAAAUACCUGAGACUGUACUGCUGUCAGCAGCUCAAAGGCCACCAGAAAGAUCAAGCUGUGAUGAUAAAACCCAGGGCAUCCUACUCUUUUUUUUUUGCUCUCCCAGGUUAGGGGCAUUUGGGGCACAUUCCAGAAGGAAAAACAUUCUGGUUGGGGACACAAAUCCUGCAUUUCCAAGAAGUCCAGCCCAAAUCCUUUAUCUGGACAGAGCAGCUUGAAACAUCCCUAUAUUCAACAGCCCUACAAAAAUUCAGCCUAAAGAUAAAGUGCUCUGCUAUAAUAUAAAGACACAUGCAGCAAUGAGCUGUGCUGGGAAACCUCGGGAACAGAUUCACAGCUCAGUGGAUGGGAUUAGUGAGGGCUGGAAUUGCUUUUACAGCCUGGCUUCUGGUUAACCCUGUAGUGCAUGAGGGGCUGCAAGGCUGGAGGCAGCUUUGGAGAUGGAGAGCCAGCCUGUGGAAACUUCCUAUUUAUUGGGAGUCAGGAGGCAGGAAACGCCAGCUGGGGUUUUCCCAAGGUGAAGUAUUUGCCCAGCUGUCUGGUCACAAUAUUCUUUCUUAUCCAAACAAGGUUGUAAAAUGUCUCCCACUAAAAGCUACAUAAAGAACUAAGUAAGGGCUGGACCUUUAUGCACACACAGAGAUUUGUCCAACAAAUGCUUUUCCAGAGACAAUAAAACUUGUUGAGGUUCA